ACAUCCUCUGAUCACUCUAGAGAUAGAGCUUUCCCCUUCGGGGGACAGAGUGACAGGUGGUGCAUGGUUGUCGUCAGCUCGUGUCGUGAGAUGUUGGGUUAAGUCCCGCAACGAGCGCAACCCUUGACCUUAGUUGCCAGCAUUCAGUUGGGCACUCUAAGGUGACUGCCGGUGACAAACCGGAGGAAGGUGGGGAUGACGUAGCUAAGCCUUC
rnacentral:misc_RNA from 1 species